CGAUGUCAACUAGUUGUUGGGGGAGGAGACUCCUUUAGUAACGAAGCUAACGCGUGAAGUUGACCGCCUGGGGAGUACGGCCGCAAGGCUUAAACUCAAAGGAAUUGACGGGGACCCGCACAAGCGGUGGAUGAUGUGGAUUAAUUCGAUGCAACGCGAAAAACCUUACCUACCCUUGACAUAUGAGGAACUUGUGAGAGAUCACUUGGUGCCCGAAAGGGAACCUCAAUACAGGUGCUGCAUGGCUGUCGUCAGCUCGUGUCGUGAGAUGUUGGGUUAAGUCCCGCAACGAGCGCAACCCUUGUCAUUAGUUGCUACAUUUAGUUGAGCACUCUAAUGAGACUGCCGGUGACAAACCGGAGGAAGGUGGGGAUGACGUCAAGUCCUCAUGGCCCUUAUGGGUAGGGCUUCACACGUCAUACAAUGGCGCGUACAGAGGGUCGCCAACCCGCAAGGGGGAGCUAAUCCCAGAAAGCGCGUCGUAGUCCGGAUUGUUCUCUGCAACUCGAGAACAUGAAGUCGGAAUCGCUAGUAAUCGCGGAUCAGCAUGUCGCGGUGAAUACGUUCCCGGGUCUUGUACACACCGCCCGUCACACCAUGGGAGUAGGUUUCACCAGAAGUAGCUAGCCCAACCGUAAGGAGGGCGGUUACCACGGUGAGGUUUAUGACCGGGGUGAAGUCGUAACAAGGUAACC
rnacentral:rRNA from 1 species